AGGCGAGCGGGGGGAAGGAGGUGGUGAGAGAGACCCUUCCCGCGGGAGGGGCGAGCGUGGCCGGGCCCCAUGGACCGCCUCCGUCCCGGUGCCGGUGCUCCGGCUCCCCGCUCCCCAUCGAGGUGCUCGUUCCCACCCUGUUCCUCACCUCCGUCCCGGUGCCCGUUCCCAACCCUCGCCGCCCCCGGCGCUGCCGCUCUCAGCCCACACCGCCGCUCCUGGGUACAGGGUUGUGACCGCUGUGGGUGCCUUCAGUUAAUGCUGCUGACGAAGUACCUUCACCUUGCGCUGGUGUUGCUGCUGAGGGACUCGCCGUUCCGGGCUGUGACUGAUUCCCGGCCUCCUACUGAAAUCCAGCUGAUUCCCUUUUCCCGCAGGAUUCAGUGCUUCCCCCCCUCCCCCCGCCCCCGGCACAGCUGGAGGCCUCGGCCACCGCGCUUCACAGGCUGGCACCUGAAUGGAAACAGAAGUUGAUGGUGGCCCAAGGUAUUUGUGAGGUUCAAAGAUUUGAACUGCAGCUGAAUAAAACUAGAGCUGAAAAUUGAAGGAUGGCAGCAAAUCCUUCAGGACAAGGUUUCCAGAAUAAAAAUAGGGUUGCAAUCCUGGCAGAACUAGACAAGGAGAAGAGAAAGUUACUUAUGCAAAACCAGUCAUCCACAAAUCACCCUGGAGCCAGCAUUGCUCUUGCAAGAUCACCGCUGAACAAGGAUUUCCGUGAUCAUGCUGAGCAGCAGCACAUCGCAGCACAGCAGAAGGCUGCACUGCAGCACGCACAUGCACAUUCCUCAGGAUACUUCAUAACUCAAGACUCUGCAUUUGGAAAUCUUAUUCUUCCUGUCUUACCUCGACUUGAAGCAGAAUGAAGAAUGUUGUUUCUCAGAACUGCAAGUUCUGAUUUUGGUUCAUAGCAAGAAAUGUCAACCUUUUAAUUUCUUUACUUAUCUUAAAACCUUUUUUUUUUCUGGAUUUUUAUGGUUGCCUUUUGGGAGUGUGAGUGCUAACAAUGAAAAAGCAAUUUUUAUCCUGUAUUUCUGUUCCUCUCAAGUCAAAGUCAGACAUAAGACAUCCUUGGUGUGUGAAUUGCGUAGCGCUCACUCUUCUCUGUUUUUUUUAAAUAAAUGUCCAAACCAGGUGAUGUACAUUCUGUUGGCGUUUGUGUUUCUUAUUGUUGUGUGCAGGUACUAUAUUUGACUUCAAUGAAAGACAAAAGUUAUUUUUGUCCAUCAAAACAGACAUGAAUUUAUCAAACGUCUCAGUCAGUCUCUCCUGUCUCUUUAUUUUUUACUGUGCACAGAAACAUUGCUAGUGUAUUGUUUGCAGUGUCAUCCCGUCUCAAGUCCUUAGAUACAGUGUGCCUUCUUCAUCUUCUGUUAUGUGAAAUAUGAAAAUUAAUUAAAGUGGGGAAAAAGCAAUUGUUUCAGUUAAUCUUUUAACAGACAAAAUAAAAGAAGUCUUUAAACAUUGCUGUACAUUUCAGAUGGACAGUGUUGUCUGCAAGGGCAAUUGUGUUUAAAAGGUCAUAUUUUUCUAGUCAUGACUUUUUCAAUACUUGGCAUGUUUCAUUUUUGUUUGCUUUUUUUCUUGCUGUUGUUAUCCCUGGUAACCAAUUCUAGCUCCCUGCUGAAAGACAAUCUGUUGAUCUUAAUGUAAAUUAUUUUGGAAUUGUGAUCAUGCUAUCAGGAUAAAGUAACUUGAAUUGAAAAAUAGUCCUUACAUAGACAUCCUUACAUAGAAUCAUAUGGUUUGGGUUGAAAGGGACCUUAAAGGUUGUGUGCUUUCAACCACCAAUAUCUCCAUCUGUUUAUGCGGUUAUACUAAUGCAGUUAUACUACUACAUUGAUUGCUUUACCGAUGGAGGCAAGUUUUGGAAAACAGAAAGAACAAGAGAACUUACGUCAGAACCAGAAAUCAGAAGGCAUCUGUUAAAUUGGUGCCCAUUUGAAGUGUCUCUGUCGUUUGCAGAAACUUAGCUGUCCCAUGAAGUUUCUAGGGUUCUUGUCUACAGAUUUUCUUAGUGACAUUUAAGGUAUCCUGUUUCCAUCUGCAGUGGAUUGCCUAAGCCCAGUAAGAAUUACUGAACUAUAAGCACUGUUAAUAAUUCCAUUCCUCCUGAGUAAGAAAACAGAAGGUUGGCUGAGAGAUGGAUGCAGGUGUGAGGAAAAUUCUGCUGCUUUCAUGUACCUCAGCUGAGUACAGACCCUUGCAGAAACUGUAGCAUACUGUAACAUUUUCAAGGGUAAUCUUGUGGCACAGGACUGAUAGAGCUUAAAGAUGUGCAGUUGUAGCAUGAACUAUUCAUAUUGUGUGCUUUUUCGGGAGCCUGAUGUGAGUCAUGGGAAUGAUGAUGGGUUUUGUGGGCAAUGGAGAAACAAGUACUGUCGUUUCUGUUUUCAGUGGUUGGCUCUGUGUAGCUUUUUAAUUACCAAGUGUGACUUGACUGUGAAGCUGUCUUGACUACUCUUUCUGCAGUGUUAGCUAAGAUACUGAGAUACUUUGAAGAAAAAGAUGUGUAAAUUUCUGUGUAUGGAAGAGGCACUUAUGAGUCGGUCCAACCUUGGAAAUCUAUGGAAGCAAAGAAGUGACAGAACAAGGGCUGAAGGAGGGUGAUGAGCAUGGAGUAGCAUGGCAUGCAGUCACAGACUUUUGAGCAAACAUUGAGUAUCUCAACACUAUUCAAAAUCAGGAAGAUGCUUGAGAAAGUAACCGGAUGAUUCCUGUUGAUCAGAAUUAUGACACUGAUGAUUUCUCCUGUCAAACCAGCUCAAACAGCAAGUUUUCUUGAAGGACAGAAUCAGUGCUAUGGACUUCUGCUGAAACCAAAGCUGAUACCUAUGACCUAGAGGACAGGUGGUAACCAGGAAGACACAUGAAUUCUAAGGUAAAAGCGAAGAGAAGGCAGCUAUCUGCUGGGUGGUCUACGUGCACAGAUUCCUCUGAAGGAGAAGGUGGAGAGAGGGAAGGAUUGUCUGUGCCCAUCUGGAAGAGUCUCCCCAUCCAGAGCUUUAUGUGCCUGAUGUAUGUUUUGCUAAUGCACAGGAAAAAAUCCUGUAGCAUCUGCUAGUAACACCCCUGUGUUUGGAAAGUCUGGUAAUCCAUGUCUUCUGAAACACUUGGAGGGAAUCCUUCUUGGGCUAAAAUACACUAUGUGGAUCUUUCUGUAGUGAACAAUAACGAAAGAGGAGUCAUCAAAGUGGAUUUCACGUGGCAUUGGGUUAAAAGUUUGCUCCAGUGAGUUUCUACAUUUGUUGGAACCACAGAGCUUGCCCCAGGCUUUUCACAACAAAGACAAUUUCUUGCUUCCUGGUUCUUGCUGUUGAUAGAAGAAAUGAAGUGACAUACCUCUCUGGGGAAAUGAUCUUUACGCUUCUUCCUUGAAUACAGAUUUUUCAGAGAGGAGGAAAGCAGGUUAAAAGCAUUAACUGGAGGAAAAAUUGAUCAGUGCCAUUGGACAUUAUGAAAAAUCAUACAUAACUACUGGUGAGAAGAUUUCUUUCCUCGGCUACUCCACUCUGCCACGUUCAUUCGGGCACUGAAUUAUGAAAGGGGGUGGCACAGUUCUCUGACUGUUCUCAUGAAGGCCUCUGGUCUGCAUACUUCACUGUCAGAGGAUGCUAAUUUUGGCAUGAAUAGUUUGUAGAUUGUGGCUGGAAGUUGUUCAAAAUCUACUCUAUUUUUUUGGCCAAAGAGUUGUACUGUUUCAUUUAAAACUGCAAAUCACAAACUUGCAUGCCACUUCACUGUGUGCAUAUGCUGCACUGGCCAUUAGCAUAUAUGUAUUACUGGUGGUAGAGAGUGAGUUUCUCUCAGUAGGGAAAAUGUCUCAUUGUAAAAAAUAUAUGUAGAUUUAUGGAUGUCUUUACAUCUUCAGAGGCUGAAUUCAGUGCCUGAAUAUCAGGCAAGCUAAGUUACUGUUAUCUUCAGUUUUGCAGAUGGAGAAAAUUGAAAGGGGAUUGCAGUGCUUGCAGGUAUACUGAAAGCCUGUGCAGUUGCCAAGAUUAACCCCUGGCUAGUGAGCUGGUGUGAGACACCAUCUGGAGACUACAGCUCUGCACCCCACAUCAGCAGCUGGCUCAUCUUCCUCCUCCAAGAAGAUGCCAAGCUCUUAGGUUUCCUGGUUUAUUUUUGCUUUUCAUGGAUAGCUUACUGUUCGGGGUUUGUUUUGGUUUGUCUUUUUUUCAGAUGGUGAGGAAAAAAGUAGGUCAGAGUUUGGGCCUUUUAUGUUUGAAACUUGGAGUAAGGAGAGUGGUGCUAAAAAGAUAAGCCGUGUUCUACUUGGUGUUUAGAAACAAGGGCAAGUGUACUUCCUUCUUCAGAACAGUGACCAGAUAAACUUAGCCGUUUUGCUGGGAUUUAGCCAUCAUUUGAUGUCCUAAGCAGAAUUACAUUAGAAUUUCCAUGUGCCUAAGUGACAGUGGACUUCUGCCAUGUGUCAGUGGGUGGCGACUUGUGAAAUGGGAAUGGCCAGAUGUGGACCAAGCCAAAGCAGCCAUGUUUGUGUUUCUCUGCCUGCAAGAGUGAUGUGCAGCUGGCUGACAGGUGGGACAGGGAUUGAUGG